UCCCUUUCCACGGCAACUCCUCCACCGUCUGCUCUCGGUUCCUCUUUAUCAGCCUCUCAUGUCGUGUUUGUUGGUGUCGGUCUGACUCCUUUGUCAAAACAGGUUUCCUCUGACAACGGUACAUCCCCUUUCUGAGCUCAGAGACGCAGAGUAUCCUCGACAGGAUGGACGAUAGCGAGACUUACAUGAAUGUGAAGUUCUCAAAAACACGGUCUUCCUCCCGAGACUAUCAGACCUCCACCAACACAAAGCUGAACAUUCGGAAAGUCGAACCCCUCAUCAAUAUACAAACAGGUCCGCAUAAGCAAGAGCCGAACGAGAACUUCGGAGAUGGACCGGACCGUAGAAUCUGC